rfam:Triticum aestivum genome assembly, contig: Triticum_aestivum_CS42_TGACv1_scaffold_467779_5DS
GGAUGCGAUCAUACCAGCACUAAAGCACCGGAUCCCAUCAGAACUCCGAAGUUAAGCGUGCUUGGGCGAGAGUAGUACUAGUAUGGGUGACCUCCUGGGAAGUCCUCGUGUUGCAUUCC